rnacentral:rRNA from 1 species
UGCAAGUCGAACGGUGAAGCAGAGCUUGCUCUGUGGAUCAGUGGCGAACGGGUGAGUAACACGUGAGCAACCUGCCCUUGACUCUGGGAUAAGCGCUGGAAACGGCGUCUAAUACCGGAUAUGAGCUGCGAUCGCAUGGUCAGCAGUUGGAAAGAUUUUUCGGUCUGGGAUGGGCUCACGGCCUAUCAGCUUGUUGGUGAGGUAAUGGCUCACCAAGGCGUCGACGGGUAGCCGGCCUGAGAGGGUGACCGGCCACACUGGGACUGAGACACGGCCCAGACUCCUACGGGAGGCAGCAGUGGGGAAUAUUGCACAAUGGGCGAAAGCCUGAUGCAGCAACGCCGCGUGAGGGAUGACGGCCUUCGGGUUGUAAACCUCUUUUAGCAGGGAAGAAGCGAAAGUGACGGUACCUGCAGAAAAAGCGCCGGCUAACUACGUGCCAGCAGCCGCGGUAAUACGUAGGGCGCAAGCGUUAUCCGGAAUUAUUGGGCGUAAAGAGCUCGUAGGCGGUUUGUCGCGUCUGCUGUGAAAUCCCGAGGCUCAACCUCGGGUCUGCAGUGGGUACGGGCA